rnacentral:rRNA from 1 species
UACCAGCACCCCGAGUGGUCGGGACGAUUAUUGGGCCUAAAGCCUCCGUAGCCGGUCAUGCAAGUCCUCCGUUAAAUCCACCUGCUUAACAGAUGGGCUGCGGAGGAUACUACAAGGCUAGGAGGCGGAAGAGGCAAGCGGUACUCAGUGGGUAGGGGUAAAAUCCUCUGAUCCAUUGAAGACCACCAGUGGCGAAGGCGGCUUGCCAAUACGCGCUCGACGGUGAGGGAUGAAAGCUGGGGGAGCAAACCGG